rnacentral:misc_RNA from 1 species
UUUUGAUGAAGCAUAGUGAAGUGAAUGAACCAUGAAAUCUCCCUAAGAACUAAUGUGAAACUUGAUGAAAAAGUGCAGAAAAAAUAGUGGAAUAAAUUUCCAAAAACAUAGAAAUAGGUUUAAAAAGAAUCUGGAAAUUUUUGGAUGUCAAAGAAUUAAAAAAGAAAUAGAGGGGCUGUGGGGGUUCGAACCCACCACCUCACAGCCUCCUCUUCAGCGAAAAUGAGAGGAAAAAUAAG